UACCUACGGGGCGCAGCAGUGGGGAAUAUUGCACAAUGGGGGAAACCCUGAUGCAGCAACGCCGCGUGAGUGAGGAAGUAUUUCGGUAUGUAAAGCUCUAUCAGCAGGGAAUAGAAAAGAAGGUACCUGAAAAAGAAGCCCCGGCUAACUACGUGCCAGCAGCCGCGGUAAUACGUAGGUGGCAAGCGUUAUCCGGAUUUACUGGGUGUAAAGGGCGUGUAGGCGGGAAAGCAAGUCAGAUGUGAAAACCAUGGGCUCAACCUGUGGCCUGCAUUUGAAACUGUUUUUCUUGAGUACUGGAGAGG
rnacentral:rRNA from 1 species